rnacentral:miRNA from 1 species
CAUCAGGGCACUCUUGAUACCAUAACUACUACUGCAUACUGUAGUGGUUAUGGUGCUUGGAGUGUUCCUUUA